AGACACAUUACUGGAAGUAUUAUUGCUGUGGAGCUCUGUUAUACACGCAGACACAUUACUGGGAGUAUUAUUGCUGUGGAGCUCUGUUAUACACUCAGACACAUUACUGGGAGUAUUAUUGCUGUGGAGCUCUGUUAUACACUCAGACACGUUACUGGGAGUAUUAUUGCUGUGGAGCUCUGUUAUACACUCAGACACAUUACUGGGAGUAUUAUUGCUGUGGAGCUCUGUUAUACACUCAGACACUUGGCAGGUGUGGUGCUAUACAGAGAGGGACAGAGUGGGAGAUAGCUGUGUGUUUUACAAUCAGACACAGUAACAAAUGGAGCUCCUAGAAAAGAUGGACAUUAGGAGAGAACAGUGGGACAGAGGG